rnacentral:rRNA from 1 species
UGCCCGGUGAAAAUUUAACGGCCGCAGUACUCUGACUGUGCUAAGGUAGCAUAAUAAAUUGACUUUUAAUUGGAGUCUAGAAUGAAUGGGGUAACGGGUAAACUCUGUCUUAUUAUAAAAAAUUUUAAAUUAAUUUUAAGGUGAAAAUACCUUUUUUAAGAAAAUAGACGAGAAGACCCUAAGAAUUUUAAGAAAACUUUAUAAGAUCUUUUUACUGGGGCGGUAAGGAAUCAUAAAACAUUCUUUUUCUUGUUUUAUCAAAUGUUAUUUUUUUAAUUUAAAUUACCUUAGGGAUAACAGCAUAAUUUAUUUUUAAGUUUGUGACCUCGAUGUUGGACUAGGGAAUUUUAGGAUUAGUCAUCAUAAAAAAAG